rnacentral:rRNA from 1 species
AACGAACGUUAGCGGCGCGCUUAACACAUGCAAGUCGAGCGAGAAAGGGGCAACCCCGGUAAAGCGGCGCACGGGUGAGUAACACGUAGGUAAUCUACCCUCGGGUGGAGGAUAACUUUCCGAAAGGAGAGCUAAUACUGCAUGAGACCACGCCUUCGAAAGGAGGAGAGGUCAAAGCCGGCCACUGUACACAAGCUGGCGCCUGAGGAUGAGCCUGCGGCCCAUCAGCUAGUUGGUAGGGUAAUGGCCUACCAAGGCGAAGACGGGUAGCUGGUCUGAGAGGAUGAUCAGCCACACUGGAACUGAGACACGGUCCAGACUCCUACGGGAGGCAGCAGUGGGGAAUCUUGCGCAAUGGGCGAAAGCCUGACGCAGCGACGCCGCGUGAGUGAUGAAGGCCUUCGGGUUGUAAAGCUCUGUGGAGAGGGACGAAUAAGGCUUGGCUAACAUCCAAGUUGAUGACGGUACCUCUUUAGCAAGCACCGGCUAACUCUGUGCCAGCAGCCG